AUUCCAGCUCCAAUAGCGUAUAUUAAAGUUGUUGCGGUUAAAAAGCUCGUAGUUGGAGUUCUGCCAGGUGGCGCUCGUCCGCCCAAGUGGUGUGUACAGGGCGUGCAUCUGGCCCUUUCAAGGGGAACGUGUCUGCACUUCAUUGUGUGGUGCGAGAUCCUUGACUUUUACUUUGAGGAAAUAAGAGUGUUCCAAGCAGGCUCUCGUCGUGCAUAGCUCAGCAUGGAAUAAUAGCAUUGGACUUCGUUUCUAAGCUGUUGGUUGCAAGAAGCGAGGUAAUGAUUAAUAGGGACAGUUGGGGGUAUCCGUAUUUCGUAGUCAGAGGUGAAAUUCUUGGAUUUACGAAAGACGAACUACUGCGAAAGCAUUUACCAAGGAUGUUUUCAUCA
rnacentral:rRNA from 1 species